UUCCCUUCCUGAACCAGCAGCAGCAGCUGCUGCCCUCUAACCAAAACAGUAAACACACACACGACCGUAGCCUUCCCCAAUUCAACCAGCAGCAACAGCUGCGAAAAUGAAAGGAAGAAAGAAAUAGAGAGGGAAGGGAGAAACAGAUGCGUGGAGGAGAAGAAGGGGAGGAGGGGAGGAAAGAGAUUGCGCCGCGCGCUGGGCUUCUCCGCCAUCGCGCCCCGCCGUGACCCACACCUCGUCGCCAUUCGCGCCGCCGACUAGCUUGCCGCCGCCUCUGUUCGUCACACCAUCACUCCUAGCCGCACCGUCGCCGAGGAGUCGUCGCUGUCGAUGGAGCCUAGAGGAGACAAACUGUGCGACAGUGAGGGAGGAGAACGCGGGCCAGUGACGCGAGGAGCACGACCCGUUGCGCCGCCAUGUGCUAACGCCGUCGUCCUCACCGUGCCGCCAUCACCCUUGCCACCGAGACAGUCACCGUUAUUUAUGGUAGAGCAGAGAGGGGGAGCUCGGGAACAGAGCAGAUGCGAGAGAUUUGGGGCUGAGCUGGGAGUCCCGCCACCGCGCCCGGCCGUGCUUGCGUCGCCGGCGCCGCCUCCGUUGGAACCGUCGUGCUGCGCAAAGCUAACUCUUCCUCCACCAUUAGAACCAUUAUUGAUUCGGUGAGCCUUUCCCUGUUUUUGGUUCUGUUACAGCCAUUCCUGGAGGAGAAAUCAGUCGUGCCGCCGUGCCUGGCCGUCGGAAAACACCACUAUCGUCACUGGAAAAACACUGCCGUAGUCAUCUGAGUCGCUUGGAGGGAGGAAGAGCCAUUGGGUGUUGCCGCACCUUGCCUCUACCGCCAAAAAUGGUCGUUGAGUCCUCGGUAUCGGGUCAUGUAUCCAUGCUUGCUUUUCGUGAUCAGAGUUCGCAGCUGCCUUGCUUUGUCAUUUCAGUAAAGCUGUUUAUGCUGCUGCGAAAAUGUGUGGGGCUGUGCUUAGGAACUGCCGUUGGUUUUGAGUCGAGGCGAAUAGAUUUCUGAGAGGCGUUUGGAGUAUAGUUUCAAUUUGUCGAGGAUUUGGGCACAGAAGUUAUGAAGAGUUUAAUUAUUGGUUAUUGAGAUGCUCUGUAUUGCUUUAGAUUAUUAUUUUUGUACCCUCGCCCUUAUCUUGAUAUAUUAUGUGAGAGGGAUAGGAAUUGUACUGGAUAAUAUUUGUAAUAUUAUUUAUAUAUAUGUAUGUAUAUAUAUAUGGAUGUACUCUUUAUAUUUUUUUGUAAGUUGUAUGGUAUGUAUGGACGUACGUUGUAUGGUGAAAGUAUUUUUGGGAAUGGUAUUGCGGUUUAAAGUUUUUAAACAGGCUCAUAUUUUAGUAUUAAAUAGUAUAAGUGUCGUCGUAAUGUCCG